rnacentral:rRNA from 1 species
AUUGAACGCUGGCGGCAGGCCUAACACAUGCAAGUCGAGCGGAUGAGUGGAGCUUGCUCCAUGAUUCAGCGGCGGACGGGUGAGUAAUGCCUAGGAAUCUGCCUGGUAGUGGGGGACAACGUUUCGAAAGGAACGCUAAUACCGCAUACGUCCGACGGGAGAAAGUGGGGGAUCUUCGGACGUCAAGCUAUCAGAUGAGCCGAGGUCGGAUUAGCUAGUUGGUGAGGUAAAGGCUCACCAAGGCGACUAUCCGUAACUGGUCUGAGAGGAUGAUCAGUCACACUGGAACUGAGACACGGUCCAGACUCCCACGGGAGGCAGCAGUGGGGAAUAUUGGACAAUGGGCGAAAGCCUGAUCCAGCCAUGCCGCGUGUGUGAAGAAGGUCUUCGGAUUGUAAAGCACUUUAAGUUGGGAGGAAGGGCAGUAAGUUAAUACCUUGCUGUUUUGACGUUACCAACAGAAUAAGCACCGGCUAACUUCGUGCCAGCCGCCGCAGUAAAAC